UACGAAGGGUGCAAGCGUUAAUCGGAAUUACUGGGCGUAAAGCGCGCGUAGGUGGUUCGUUAAGUUGGAUGUGAAAGCCCCGGGCUCAACCUGGGAACUGCAUCCAAAACUGGCGAGCUAGAGUAUGGCAGAGGGUGGUGGAAUUUCCUGUGUAGCGGUGAAAUGCGUAGAUAUAGGAAGGAACACCAGUGGCGAAGGCGACCACCUGGGCUAAUACUGACGCUGAGAUGCGAAAGCGUGGGGAGCGAACGGG
rnacentral:rRNA from 1 species